AGAGUUUGAUUCUGGCUCAGGAUGAACGCUAGCGGCAGGCUUAACACAUGCAAGUCGAGGGGCAGCGUGGAGUAGCAAUACUCUGACGGCGACCGGCGAAAGGGUGAGUAACGCGUGAGCAACAUGCCCGGUAGUGGAGAAUAGUCGAUGGAAACGUCGCGUAAUACUCCGUAACAUAGAGAACCGCAUGAUUUUUCUAUUAAUAGAUUUAUCGCUACCGGAUUGGCUCGCGUACCAUUAGCUAGUUGGCGGGGUAACGGCCCACCAAGGCGACGAUGGUUAGGGGUUCUGAGAGGAAGGUCCCCCACAUUGGAACUGAGACACGGUCCAGACUCCUACGGGAGGCAGCAGUGAGGAAUAUUGGACAAUGGCCGAGAGGCUGAUCCAGCCAUGCCGCGUGCCGGGAAGACGGCCCUAUGGGUUGUAAACCGCUUUUGUUGGGGAGCAAUAAGGUCCACGAGUGGAUCGAUGAGAGUACCCAGCGAAUAAGCAUCGGCUAACUCCGUGCCAGCCGCAGC
rnacentral:rRNA from 1 species